rnacentral:rRNA from 1 species
GACGAACGCUGGCGGCGUGCUUAACACAUGCCAGUCGAACGCUGAAGCUCAGCUUUUGUUGGGUGGAUGAGUGGCGAACGGGUGAGUAACACGUGAGUAACCUGCCCCCUUCUUUGGGAUAACGCCUGGAAACGGGUGCUAAUACUGGAUAUUCACUGGUCUUCGCAUGGGGGUUGGUGGAAAGGGUUUUUCUGGUGGGGGAUGGGCUCGCGGCCUAUCAGCUUGUUGGUGGGGUGAUGGCCUACCAAGGCUUUGACGGGUAGCCGGCCUGAGAGGGUGACCGGUCACAUUGGGACUGAGAUACGGCCCAGACUCCUACGGGAGGCAGCAGUGGGGAAUAUUGCACAAUGGGCGCAAGCCUGAUGCAGCGACGCCGCGUGAGGGAUGGAGGCCUUCGGGUUGUGAACCUCUUUCGCUCAUGGUCAAGCCGCAACAAUGGUUGUGGUGAGGGUAGUGGGUAAAGAAGCGCCGGCUAACUACGUG